GACGAACGCUGGCGGCGUGCUUAACACAUGCAAGUCGAACGGAAAGGCCCUGCUUUUGUGGGGUGCUCGAGUGGCGAACGGGUGAGUAACACGUGAGUAACCUGCCCUUGACUUUGGGAUAACUUCAGGAAACUGGGGCUAAUACCGGAUAGGAUCUCCUGCUGCAUGGUGGGGGUUGGAAAGUUUCGGCGGUUGGGGAUGGACUCGCGGCUUAUCAGCUUGUUGGUGGGGUAGUGGCUUACCAAGGCUUUGACGGGUAGCCGGCCUGAGAGGGUGACCGGCCACAUUGGGACUGAGAGACGGACCAGACUCCUACGGGAGGCAGCAGUGGGGAAUAUUGCACAAUGGGAGGAAGCCUGAUGCAGCAACGCCGCGUGCGGGAUGACGGCCUUCGGGUUGUAAACCGCUUUCGCCUGUGACGAAGCGUGAGUGACGGUAAUGGGUAAAGAAGCACCGGCUAACUACGUG
rnacentral:rRNA from 1 species